AUUGUUUAUGUGAUCAAUUAUCAACUUAACACCAUGGCUGCUAAAUGAGGUUCUCUUAAACACAGAAGACAUUCUUGUACUGUUUUCCUACAACAAGAAUUGCUGAAGGGCUUUACUGAAUACAGAGAGAAAAGAAUAUCUUAUCAUUACCCACAGUCCACCUUCAAAUGAUGCAAAACCUUUUAUGAUCAUAAAAGUUUUAUGUCUGUGCUUCUCAUAAUCACCGUGUGGUUCCCAUAAAGGUGAUGGGAGGUCACUGGCUCUUCUGGUCCAAACAUAGUUUUAUCCUGUUUACUGAAAUAGUUCCAAGCGGUGCCAUGCAGAGAUGACACAUUGCCGUUCUCCCUGCUAUCAGCAUGAGCACUCCCUCUGGUUUGCCUGUUAAGAGCUUAGCAUGAUUUCACAAUUAGUUUUUAAUGGUAAGUAAAGAAAAUCUCAAGUAGCGAUAUACUUACUGAACUAAGAGUCUGAGGGGCAUAAAACAUUGUGUGUGAUUCUCGUCAUCACAAUAACCUUUACUUAUUAUAUUGCUCUGUAUACUUUGUGGAUUCAAAAAUUGUUUUCAGUGUCACUGACUCAAGAUGAAUGUCAGUGUUAUGAUCAUUGUUUUGCAUAUUUGGAUUGUGUACAGAAGACAGAGAGGAGGAAACCACUUCAGAAGCAGGGGUAUCUAGAAACAUUUCUGCCCACAGCUCGUUUGAACUGUCCAAAUGGCAAUUUUUUUUAACUUCUCUGAAAUUCAGUUUUGUGACCAGAAUGAAUCAUAAGGCUCUUUUAUUUAACAAAGUAACAGUACAUUUUACUCUGUCCCUUUUUUUGUUAAAUAGAAAACAUAUGGAUUUUGAAAUUUGUAAACCUACUUGGAAAGGAAAGGUAGGAUGAAAGCAAUAUUGUUUAUAAGAAGAAAUUAAAUGGGACAGUAGUGAAUGACUCAAAAGAAGAGAUAAGAUAAGAUCUAAGGGCCUGUGAUAGGGACUGGAGAACCUUUUGUAUUUUUAAAGUCACAAGAAGAGAAGGUUUUAAAGGUCUUUGAGGGGAACAGUUCAACACCAUGAUUGCAGUCUCAACCUGUAACUACAAAACACGUAUCCUUAUCAGACUCUGGCCAAAACCUUAUUACUCUCCAAGGAAAACCAAAUGGAAAAUGUUUGAAGAAAGGAAAUUGAGAGAUGGGGUGCUAUUAAAAAAUAUGUUUCUAUAAAACAUCAACAUUUCAAGUAUUGCUGAAUACAUAUCCUAAAAAAAAACCCAAAACAUAUAUAGGAGGUAAAAUAAAUAUGGUAAAUAUAAUGUAAAGUAUUUUUCUGAUAGUUCAUUACAUGGCAAGUUUGUGUAAAGUAAAUAAUUCCUAGCUUGUAGAAUAUUAAGUGCAAUCGGGGUACUGUUAUUCAUUGGUCGCACACCUUCUGACUUACUUAGCUCAUCUAAUAUAUUGUCUGCCUUUUCUAUUUUAUAAAUUAAAUAUGUUCUAUUCCAUCUAUGUAAAUGCUGGGGAUAAAUCAGUUUAUUUUAGCACAGAAUCCUAAUCCUUGUCUACAAACCAGUUAUGGAGAAGUCAUUUUCCACAGUCCCCAUUUCCUCCUGCUAAUUGGUUUGUUAAAAAUCACUCUCCUUUUGUUCUUGGCUUUUUCGAAUCCUGCACACUUGUUAAGAGAAUUGGUGAGUACAUCAUUGCAUACUUCCAAACACCAUGAAUAAUGAGUACCCCCUAUCCCUACAGUGAGGAUACUACCACUGUCCUUAGAUACGUAGGGUAUAGAAAGAGGAAGAAGACAAAGAGAGAAGAGAGGGGAGGAAGGGGAAACAAGGAGGGUAAUAAUAUACAUUAACUUUAUAAUGAACAAAUCUUUAAAAUAUGUAAGUAAAGAAUGAAUGAGGGGCUGGAGCUAAGUUCAGAGGUAAUGAUCCCUUAGACUGGUUAUAAUUUUCAGAGCGUACAAACUUCCUUAUUUCUUUAUUUCUGUUUCUAAAAAAUAGUUCAACGACAUAUACCAGAUCAUCAUUAAAGGUGUGCUCUUUGGAAAUUUCUACUGAUUAUGUUCCGAUUUCCUCGUCAAAGAGUUAGCUCUGAAGAAGGAUGCAUUUCAAAGGGAUUUUGUAAAGCAUUGUGCAUAGUGAUUCAGGUGGCCUUCCUUAUAGAAAAAGAACAGAGAAAAGAACAGUACAAUAUUUUGAACAUAUGUUUGCAUUUUUCUUUGCAAAGCUAGUAGAGACUUCAACUAAUUAUAUAGCCAGUUGAUGUAGAAAAGGAUGUUGAAUAAAUAGCACAAAUUUGCCAAGUCUUGACAAUGAGCCCAAAGUUUCUAAACUAUGUACUUCCAGUACAUAGUUUAAACAAUGACAAAUAUUUAUUGAGCCACCUGCAAGACUAUGGUAAAACGUUAUGGAUCAAUUGUAUACUUAUAAGAACAUGCAACAGGUAACUUAUUUUCCAGAUGAAACUAGUACAGGAUUGUAAAGACUCACUCAAGUUAAGCUCUCAGAAAAUGACUGUGCACCCACCCACCUCAAAAAUGUUAAUCCAGAAAUCCUCUGUCAAUUUCCUGUCAGGAAAUGCAGGGACAAAGAGUGGAGCAGAAACUGAAGGAAAGGCCAUCCUGAGAUUGCCCCACUUAGGGGAUCCAUCCCAUCUGCUGACACCAAACCCGGACACUAUUGCUGAUGCCUAGAAGUGCUUACUGACAGGAGCCUGGUAUUGCUGUCCCCUAAGAGGCCUGACAGAGCCUGUCCAAUACAGAUGCGGAUGUACACAGCAGAACAUUGGACUGAGCAUGGGGACCCAGUGGGGAAGUUAGGUCAAGGACUGUAGGAGCUGAAGGGGUUUGCAACCUCAUAGAACAACAAUAUCAACCAACCAGAACCCCCAAAGCUCCCAGGGACUAAACCACCAACCAAAGAGUACACAGGGCAUGCCCAUUUCUCCAACUGCAUAUGUAGCAGAGGAAUGCCUUAUCUGGCAUGACUGGGAGGGGAAUCCCCUUGGUUCUGUGGAGGUUUGAUGACCCAAGAUAGGGGAAUGCUAGGGAACUAAGGCAGAAGAGGGUGAGCAGGUUGGGGAGCCCCCCUCAUAGAGGCAGAGGGAGCAAGGAGAGGGAAGGGGCAUUGGGGGCAGAAACUGGGAAGAGGCACAACAUUUGAAAUGUAAAUAAAUAAAAUAACCAAUAAAAAUG
rnacentral:lncRNA from 1 species